rnacentral:misc_RNA from 1 species
AAGUCGUAACAAGGUUUCCGUAGGUGAACCUGCGGAAGGAUCAUUAACGAAUGAACGCCACAUUGGGGUUGUAGCUGGUCCUCACGGACAAGUGCUCGCCUCUGUGUCUUCCAACACACCCUGUGCACACCGGCGUGAGUCGUGGGGUCCCUUCGGGGUCUCCGCAGCUCAUCGCUUCUCUCUUACAAACUCUUGUAUGUCUCAGAAUGUACCUUGCGCUUAAACGCAUCUAAUACAACUUUCAACAACGGAUCUCUUGGCUCUC